CCUGAAAGGGCGGGGUGCCCGCAAGGGAACGUGGAGACAGGUGGUGCAUGGCUGUCGUCAGCUCGUGUCGUGAGAUGUUGGGUUAAGUCCCGCAACGAGCGCAACCCUCACCCCUAGUUGCCACCGGGUAAAGCCGAGCACUCGAGGGGAACUGCCAGCGUCAAGCUGGAGGAAGGCGGGGAUGACGUCAAGUCAUCAUGCCCCUUACGCCCUGGGCUACACACGUGCUACAAUGGCCGGUACAAAGGGACGCGAGACCGCGAGGUGGAGCCAAUCCCAAAAAACUGGUCUAAGUUCAGAUUGCAGUCUGCAACUCGACUGCAUGAAGGAGGAAUCGCUAGUAAUCGCGCAUCAGCACGGCGCGGUGAAUACGUUCCCGGGCCUUGUACACACCGCCCGUCACACCACGAAAGCUGU
rnacentral:rRNA from 1 species